rnacentral:tRNA from 1 species
GCGCCGGUAGCUCAGUUGGUAGAGCAGGGGCCUUUUAAGCCCAAGGUCGUGGGUUCGAAUCCCGCCCGGCGCACCA